rnacentral:rRNA from 1 species
UACGAAGGGUGCAAGCGUUGCUCGGAAUUAUUGGGCGUAAAGGGUAGGUAGGUGGUGAUAUUUGUCUGGGGUGAAAUCCCUGAGCUUAACUCAGGAAGUGCCUUGGAAACGGUAUCACUAGAGUGCUGGAGAGGUUCGCAGAAUUCCCGGUGUAGCGGUGAAAUGCGUAGAGAUCGGGAGGAAUACCAGAGGCGAAGGCGGCGAACUGGACAGCAACUGACACUCAACUACGAAAGCGUGGGUAGCAAACAGG